AUUUAUACUGGUUUAAACUGGUCCAUACUGGUUUUUCAGGAGCCCGCCCCCCUCCCCAAGGGUUGGAGCCCCAAGGCUGAGGUGGAAUAUCAGCACCCGCUGGGACCCGGCGGAAAAAAGGACACGACGGUGCCGCUGCCCCCCCAGUACAGCCCCCGCUACGUCGAGGCCGCCUGGUACCAAUGGUGGGAGAGGGAGGGGUUCUUCAAACCCUCUGAGCAGGAUUUUGGGGAUUCCCCGGUGCUGAGCCUGGUGCUGCCCCCCCCCAACGUCACCGGGUCCCUUCACCUGGGCCACGCCCUGACGGUGACACUGCAGGACAUCCUGGUCAGAUGGUCAGGAUUUGGGAAU